GCCCUGUGGGGAAGGUGUCUUGCUUCCCCUUCACCUUCCACCAUCAGUGUAAGUUUCCUGAGGAUUCCCCAGCCGUGCUGAACUAGAUGUGGUCUCACUGUGUUGCCUAGGCUAGUCUCAAACUCCUGGCCUCAAACUAUCAUCCCACCUUAGCCUCCCAAAGUGCCGGGAUCACAAAUUUCUUCCACCGGUUGUGAUUUUGUCCCAGGAGAAUGUGUGCACACGGUGGCCACCAGAGGGAGCCCUUCAGCGACAGAGGAUGAGAGCUGCAGGAUGGUCAGAGGAAACCCAAUCCACAUUGGAACAAGGCUUCUUAAGACAUGGAUGUAAUUUGGUGGUGCGGAAAAAUCAGAGUGUUCAAAACACAGCUGUCUGGCUUGGACCACGUUGAUAUGGCAGAAUUCCAAGAGAAAAAGCAAAGAUGAUGAUGUAAAAGGCUGAACCAAAAAUAACAACUGAUCUUACAUACACCAUUCCUCUGCUGCAUUGGUAUAUCACAGCUGUGAUCUCCACAAGAGGAUAGGGUUCAGGAGGAGGACUUGAAAAAAGAUCGUCUCAGGGUUGUGAAAGAAGAUACAAUCAGCAAGCCUCUGAGAAAUCACAGCUGAUGACUAAGUCCACAGUCUGCUCAUAAAAUGUAGAGUUAUAGCUCUUGCUCUCACCACUGUCUCUGAUGAGUCUGAAGAAUUGUGAAUCACUAAAAGUCUCUACUUCUUUAAAUGUCUAGAAAGACUGUUCAAAUCACCUGGAAAGCUUGCACUUUUUUUUUUUAAUCUAGAAGACAAUAAAAAGUUGCAACAUCCUCUCUCAGAUCAGACCCAUCUGUUCCUUUACUCAUUCAUUCAACUCUUAUAUAUUAAUUCACUGACUUUUAGGUACCGGGAAUAAUUUCUGAGAG
rnacentral:lncRNA from 10 species